rnacentral:rRNA from 1 species
UACGUAGGGGCCGAGCGUUGUCCGGAGUUAUUGGGCGUAAAGCGCGCGCAGGCGGCCUCGCGCGCCCGCCGUGAAAGCCCCCGGCUUAACCGGGGAGGGUCGUUGGGGACGGCGGGGCUUGAGGGCGGGAGAGGGCGGUGGAAUUCCCGGUGUAGUGGUGAAAUGCGUAGAGAUCGGGAGGAACACCUGUGGCGAAGGCGGCCGUCUGGGCCGACCCUGACGCUGAGGCGCGACAGCGUGGGGAGCAAACAGG